rnacentral:rRNA from 1 species
AUGAUUUAUUNAAUGGCCGCGGUAUAUUGACCGUGCAAAGGUAGCAUAAUCAUUAGUCUAUUAAUUGUGGGCUUGUAUGAAUGGUUGGACGAAAUAUUAACUGUCUCAUGUUAAUAAUUAGAAUUUAAUUUUUUAGUCAAAAAGCUUAAAUUUUAUUGUAAGACGAGAAGACCCUAUAGAUCUUUAUUUUUUUAUAUUUCUUUCAUAUUUAGUUUUUGUUUUAAAGUUAUUUUUGGAUUUUUUGUUGGGGUGACAGGAGGAUAUAUUUAACUCUUUAUUUUUUAUACAGUUAUUUUUGAUUAUUUGACCUUUUAUUAUUGUUUUAAGAUUUAGAUACCUUAGGGAUAACAGCGUAAUUUUUUUNGAGAGUUCAUAUCGACAAUAAAGAUUGCGACCUCGAUGUUGGAUUAAGAAUAUUUUAGGGUGUAGGUGCUUUAAUCAAUAGGUCUGUUCGACCGUUAAAUUCUUACAUGAUCUGA